GAUGAACGCUGGCGGCGUGCCUAAUACAUGCAAGUCGAGCGAACGGACGAGAAGCUUGCUUCUCUGAUGUUAGCGGCGGACGGGUGAGUAACACGUGGAUAACCUACCUAUAAGACUGGGAUAACUUCGGGAAACCGGAGCUAAUACCGGAUGAUAUUUUGAACCGCAUGGUUCAAAAGUGAAAGACGGUCUUGCUGUCACUUAUAGAUGGAUCCGCGCUGCAUUAGCUAGUUGGUAAGGUAACGGCUUACCAAGGCAACGAUGCAUAGCCGACCUGAGAGGGUGAUCGGCCACACUGGAACUGAGACACGGUCCAGACUCCUACAGGAGGCAGCAGUAGGGAAUCUUCCGCAAUGGGCGAAAGCCUGACGGAGCAACGCCGCGUGAGUGAUGAAGGUCUUCGGAUCGUAAAACUCUGUUAUUAGGGAAGAACAUAUGUGUAAGUAACUGUGCACAUCUUGACGGUACCUAAUCAGAAAGCCACGGCUAACUACGU
rnacentral:rRNA from 1 species